rfam:Schistosoma mansoni, Puerto Rico, WGS project CABG01000000 data, contig: 0223
AUCCAGCUGAGGAGUCCCAAAUAGGACGAAAUACGCGUCGUGAAU